rnacentral:rRNA from 2 species
GUGAUCUAGCCAUGGGCAGGUUGAAGGUUGGGUAACACUAACUGGAGGACCGAACCGACUAAUGUUGAAAAAUUAGCGGAUGACCUGUGGCUGGGGGUGAAAGGCCAAUCAAACCGGGAGAUAGCUGGUUCUCCCCGAAAGCUAUUUAGGUAGCGCCUCGUGAAUUCAUCUCCGGGGGUAGAGCACUGUUUCGGCUAGGGGGCCAUCCCGGCUUACCAACCCGAUGCAAACUGCGAAUACCGGAGAAUGUUAUCACGGGAGACACACGGCGGGUGCUAACGUCCGUCGUGAAGAGGGAAACAACCCAGACCGCCAGCUAAGGUCCCAAAGUCAUGGUUAAGUGGGAAACGAUGUGGGAAGGCCCAGACAGCCAGGAUGUUGGCUUAGAAGCAGCCAUCAUUUAAAGAAAGCGUAAUAGCUCACUGGUCGAGUCGGCCUGCGCGGAAGAUGUAACGGGGCUAAACCAU